CUCCAUGGACAGAUAAGGACCCAUUGCAUUGCCCAAGAACAUACCAAUGGAAGACGCAUUCACGUUCAUGGAUAUCUGAAGACGUGACCACAGAUAUGAUUUUAUCAGAUAGAAAUAUUCAUAUGAGUAAAAAGAAACAUCCUUCAAGUUUAAGUGUCUUCAUGAUUUGCGACUGAAGAGGGCAAAAUUAAUAGAUCAAAUGAAUCUUCUUUCUGACAAUGAAGAAAUGGCCUUACCUUGACACAGUGCACUGAGCAAAGCCCCGACGAAGCGACCAAGAUUUAAAAGGGAUGCUACCCAGGAUGCUUCGGUAUCUGUCAGUCUCAAAGGCAUGUUCGCUUCCGUUGAUGUCAGUUGAGCCAAGUAUGGCGAUGCCCAACCAUUCGCGAGACCACUUCCGAUAAUAGCUAAGCAGACUGUCACAAACGGCCAUGAAACAGUUGUGUCAACGGAUGCGAGAGUAAUUUCAUUAGCUCAUUCAUAGACAUAGCUCUACAGGCAUCUUGUGUAUGGAAUACGGCGCAUUUUGAUGUAUACCAGAGAUUGUAUUAGAACGUCUUGAUCAAGUUUAAUGUUAAGCAAACAUUGCUUUUGUGAAUUUUCAAAAAACGUGAUUUAUUUGAUUUGACAAUAAAAUAAUAUAUAAUCGUUUAAUAGAAUUAUUAAAUUUAUAAAAACUAAUAAAAUUAUUAAAAUAUUUU